CUCGCGGUUUCCAGAUGAGUUCUAAAAUUAAUUUUUUAAUUAGUGUCCGAAAAAUCCUCCCGACAUCUGGUCAAACUAUUGAUGUGACACCCAAAAAAUUUUGAUUUGGGAACUAAACGGCCCCUUCAUCAUUUCAGAGAAGGGUCUUGUUCUUGCGGGGAUUACUGAACACUAUUGAAACGAAGGACAAUUUACACUCUAGUUAUUUGAUACAUUGAAAGAGGCACAAAAGAAAGGAAGGAAGCAUAGACUGGUGUAGUUGGUAUCCAGAUCUGGUACAUUAUGUCUGUGAACUUUUUUUUUUCUUCGCACACACGGCAACAAACCCCACACAUUUGUGUGGGUAAGGCUUGAGGCUUAAAAACAACCCUUCCCCAGACCCCGCACAGUGCGGGAAGCCUACGGCACUGGGUACGCCUUUACACGGCAACAAACACACGCACGCAUACACAGAUGCACAAGCACAUAAUGUUAUAUGAUAUACAGUCGAGUUGCUCUAGCUCCAUGCCAAUCAUUAACAGCUUGGCCUUGACAAAAUAAGCAGGCUACUGCCCUUAUCAACUCUAUUACUUUAUUUCCGCUCUUGGGGAUAGUUCUUUAGUGUUCCCCAGAUAUGUAUUUUUGCAGUUUAAUCUCUAGCUUACAGCUCUAAUCACUACUCUAGGAGUAUAAUAAGACCAUUAGCGUACGACAUAAUGCAUAAUUAGAGUUUAUUAUAAUGAGUGAUUUCCGAGUCUCUGUAUGAUCAUAAGUUCAUAACCCCCCAAGGUUACACCUAACAUAGACCUUUACCAAAAAUAUACUCACUUGCAUCUCGCGUGCAGCUGGCUUUGCCACGGACUGUGCGUUGUUUAUGGUUUUCAGAAAGGUGCGGCAUACGCUUUCCUAAGCACAAUUAGAGAUCAUGUACCCUAAGCACAUGGGAAUCGAAUGCUGUAUUAGCACACGGUGUGUGUACUCGCGAUGUUCAGAUAUCAUGGGGCUAGCUUGUACUGCAAUCGAAUCAUCCAUGUUCAACUCUCAUCAUUCAUCUUUGGUAAUGAUCCCAUUAGGACUGCUUUUGUGUUCUUUGCUUAUCAAUGCAUCUCUCUAGUAACUGUAUGCACAAACUUUUGAAGCGUGUACAAAUUAUGGUAGGCGUGGUGGAUUUGGUCUGAUCAUUCUGUUUUACUUUGAAGAAGCUUAGACUGUCCCUAUCAGAACCCUUUCUGUUCUCCUCUGGAUCUUAGAUUAUUACUGUUUAUAUUCUGAUUCAAAACCCCGAAUCAUUUGUCGGGAUGCUCUACUGAUGAUUCCCAAGCUUUGAAGGGUACCAGUGCAGUGUAUUGCCACGAAGAAAAGGAGCCUCUCUGAAGCUGUUAAGCUGGAGGAUAGUCGACGCAGGGAGCAGGGUCUGCGGGAUGAACGAAUCCGAUGUCGCAAAUCUUAUCUUCAUAUAACAUGGGUUGUGUUUUUUUACCUUUAGACUUACUACCCCAAAAGAGACGAUUGCCAGCUAAUCCUAUGCAGGCAUUGCUCCAUUUGUUUAUUUUGAGUUCUUUGGCUGCUAUUUCUUGGAGCUGUUUUGUUUGCAGGAAUCCUCUGACCUCACUAGCCCCUGAUGCCCCGGUGCCCACAGCUCGUCACCAGCAGCUCCUGUUGCCAGCAUCCAGCAAGCUCUGGGCACCCAGCUGAUAUCAUCCUGCCCUGCCCCUCGCAUUAUCCGGUUUCCACUGCAGGCGAUGUGAUGCGAACGCCCCCGAGCAUAUGGUACACACGAAUAUGCACGGCAAUGAUUGGGAAAGAAGACACAGAUCUGUGGCAACCUUUCUGGCGAGCAUAAUGAUGCGCGAGAAGAUAAUCUGGCGGAUGGUCGGGUCCAUUCCCCCAUCCCUCAAUGACUGCACGAGCCGAGCCCGCCCCGGAGCGGCACGGAUGAAUGCGCCGCGCCGAGGCCGGCCGCCGCCGCCGUGCACGCGGCCGUGCAAAGGGGGCGCGGCAACGGGUCAUGACUCGCGAAGGGCGAGCCCCUACCGGGCAGGCUACGGCGGUCUUCUUCCCGGCGAGGUCAAGAAAGCUGGUUGGCUGGCUGGCUGGCUGGCUGCUGGCCGAGUGGCCGUGGCUAGGAAUCUACCGAGACUUGUUAUCCACGUAGCCGGCCUGUGCUGUGGUCCAGUCCAUCUUCUUUCUUAUGGGGAGUUUGAAGUCGUAUCCUUUUGCAGUCCAUAGUUUACAUUUCUCCCAAGAUUCGGUUUCGUUUUGCUUUCCCUGCUACCGCUUUAAGAGCGAGCAGCUUAGCGAGGGCGCCACUAAUGGUAGGCCGCAGGAGGAGAAAAAAGGCAGCUGGGAGAUGGGGAGGCGGACGAGGCUGCUGCUGCUGCAGCUGGUGAUGGUGCUGAAAGAAAGGUAAAGCGGGUAGGGAAUAAGCGAGAAACUUGCAGGCCACUUCUUGCAAUGUUUUGUGUGAGGCCCUGUUUAGUUCCCACCCCAUAAACCCGUAAACGCAAAAAAAACGUCA